ACGGAGGAUGCAAGUGUUAUCCGGAAUCACUGGGCGUAAAGCGUCUGUAGGUGGUUUAGUAAGUCAACUGUUAAAUCUUGAGGCUCAACCUCAAAAUCGCAGUCGAAACUAUUAGACUAGAGUAUAGUAGGGGUAAAGGGAAUUUCCAGUGGAGCGGUGAAAUGCGUAGAUAUUGGAAAGAACACCGAUGGCGAAGGCACUUUACUGGGCUAUUACUGACACUCAGAGACGAAAGCUAGGGUAGCAAAUGGGAUUAGAUACCCCAGUAGUCCUAGCUGUAAACCAUGGAUACUAGAUGUUGAACAGAUCGACCUGUGCAGUAUCAAAGCUAACGCGUUAAGUAUCCCGCCUGGGAAGUAUGCUCGCAAGGGUG
rnacentral:rRNA from 1 species